rnacentral:rRNA from 1 species
GACGAACGCUGGCGGCGUGCUCAACACAUGCAAGUCGAACGAUGAAGCCGGAGCUUGCUCUGGUGAAUUAGUGGCGGACGGGUGAGUAACACGUGAGUAACCUGCCCUUGACUCUGGGAUAACUGCGGGAAACUGUAGCUAAUACCGGAUACGACCCUCGGAGGCAUCUCCUGGGGGUGGAAAGAAUUUCGGUCAAGGAUGGACUCGCGGCCUAUCAGCUAGUUGGUGAGGUAAAGGCUCACCAAGGCGACGACGGGUAGCCGGCCUGAGAGGGUGACCGGCACACUGGGACUGAGACACGGCCCAGACUCCUACGGGAGGCAGCAGUGGGGAAUAUUGCACAAUGGGCGCAAGCCUGAUGCAGCAACGCCGCGUGAGGGAUGACGGCCUUCGGGUUGUAAACCUCUUUUAGCAGGGAAGAAGCGAAAGUGACGGUACCUGCAGAAAAAGCACCGGCUAACUACGUGCCAGCAGCCGCCGUAA